AGUGGGGAAUAUUGGACAAUGGGCGAAAGCCUGAUCCAGCAAUGCCGCGUGAGUGAUGAAGGCCUUAGGGUUGUAAAGCUCUUUUACCAGGGAUGAUAAUGACAGUACCUGGAGAAUAAGCUCCGGCUAACUCCGUGCCAGCAGCCGCGGUAAUACGGAGGGAGCUAGCGUUGUUCGGAAUUACUGGGCGUAAAGCGCGCGUAGGCGGCUUUUCAAGUCAGGGGUGAAAUCCCGGGGCUCAACCCCGGAACUGCCCUUGAAACUGGAUGGCUAGAAUACUGGAGAGGUGAGUGGAAUUCCGAGUGUAGAGGUGAAAUUCGUAGAUAUUCGGAAGAAUACCAGUGGCGAAGGCGACUCACUGGACAGUUAUUGACGCUGAGGUGCGAAAGCGUGGGGAGCAAA
rnacentral:rRNA from 1 species